AAAAGGAGUCCAUUCAUUCUCUACAAUUUCUAUAGCAUAUCUUAAUUAAAAUGCCAAGAAGAUAUACCCUAAGAAUGGAGACCAGAGCACUGGGGGCUGUGCAAAUCAUGAAUGGCCUAAUUUACUGUGCAUUGGGGUUUCUUUGUUUUGCAUUAUUUAUCUCAGAAGAGGACAGGAAACAAACUGGUCAUAUCCCUGUUGUUGUUACACUAAUUUACAUAUUUUGGUCAGCACCAUUUGUCCUUCACUCUCAGAAUCCACUGCCCCUACAUUAAUAUACAAAGAACCAGUGUGACUCCAGUCAAGAACAAAAGUACAAAGAACCAGUGUGACUCCAGUCAAGAACAAAAGUACAAAGAACCAGUGUGACUCCAGUCAAGAACAAAAGUACAAAGAACCAGUGUGACUCCAGUCAAGAACAAAAGAUUAACUGUGAAUUAGUGAAGAACUCAGUAACUUUUUUCAAGAGGCCCAUGGAAAAUACAUGCUAAUGAGGUCCUUUCUGGUAUAUCUUCUUCCUACUUCUUCAAUAAAGGAUGCAAUUUGAUCA
rnacentral:lncRNA from 1 species